UGGGGAAUUUUGGACAAUGGGGGAAACCCUGAUCCAGCCAUGCCGCGUGCGGGAAGAAGGCCUUCGGGUUGUAAACCGCUUUUGGCAGGAACGAAACGGCGCGCGCCAAUACCGCGCGCUAAUGACGGUACCUGCAGAAUAAGCACCGGCUAACUACGUGCCAGCAGCCGCGGUAAUACGUAGGGUGCAAGCGUUAAUCGGAAUUACUGGGCGUAAAGCGUACGCAGGCGGCUGUGCAAGACAGGUGUGAAAUCCCCGGGCUCAACCUGGGAACUGCACUUGUGACUGCACGGCUAGAGUCCGUAAGAGGGGGGUGGAAUUCCACGUGUAGCAGUGAAAUGCGUAGAGAUGUGGAGGAACACCGAUGGCGAAGGCAGCCCCCUGGGAUGAGACUGACGCUCAUGUACGAAAGCGUGGGGAGCAAACAGGAUUAGAUACCCUGGUAGUCCACGCCCUAAACGAUGUCGACUAGUUGUCGGGUCUUUACAGACUUGGUAACGCAGCUAACGCGUGAAGUCGACCGCCUGGGGAGUACGGUCGUAAGAUUA
rnacentral:rRNA from 1 species